UUAACUAUUAUAUAGUACUCAGACAUCACUAAAAACAGAGUUUGUUUCCUCUGGCAGGCACGCAUAAGCCGGAGCCCAUGGUGUUUCCACGGCCUGCCAAAGCAACGAAGGUAUAAUAUUCAAGGGUGGGAGAUCUACCCGUGAGGGCAUGAACUCUGUAAUGAUCCUUCCGCAGGUUCACCUACGGAAA
rnacentral:misc_RNA from 1 species